AAACGUGAGCCUUGAAUACUGUGACCAUCUCAGAGGACAUGAUUGCUUUCUCAGUUUUAAAAUAAUUCGUGUCUGUUGCAUCUUACAGGAUGUGUGUAUGGAGCUCAGUAGCAGCCCGGCAGCCUCGUGGACUCUGCUGAUUGUUUUCUUACACUGGGAUUUCCCUGGCCUAGAGACUGAAAUCACAGAACCAUGGAAUCCAAACCAGAGGGGCUUUCUCUGUCAUCUGAGAUAAUACUGAUUUUCGGCUACAUGUACUGGAGCCAGCCAGGGCUCGGGCUGUGGGGCUGACAGAGUAGGGGGCAGACUCAGAUUUUCCCACAUUUGAGUGUAUCAUUCUGUGUGCUGUGAUGUUUGGCCCUUUCAGCUGAUGGCUCUCAAGAGGAUGAGGAAAUGAGAAGGCCACAUACCAAGAACCUUGAGGCCUUGUCACUUGACGUGAACCCUGGCGGCCACCCUUUGCAAGGUAAAGCAUUUCUACCCCAGUGGUUUCUCCUCCCUCUGGCCGGCUCGCUCCUCCCUAAGUCUGCCUGUGUAGGAUGGGAUGAGAGAGCGUGGAUGAGAGCACGCAGCCUCAGAAGACAGGUUUCCCGUGGCCAAUACCUCCUGCACAAUUACUCAGUUAAUCAGCGUGCUACGCCUCUACCCCCAGUGUUCCCAGUUGUGCGUGACAGCGUGGAGGAGACUUGAGAAGGACACUCACAGACCCAGACUCGGCAGGGUUUAUGAGCUAGUUGAACAGAUGAAUGAACAAGCAGGUGAGAAGUAAUUUGACCCCAGUUCCAGUCUGGCCUCUGUCACUAACUGUGUGAGUUGGAGGUUUAGAGAGAUGAGGCAUAAAAGUAUAAAACGUAUCCCUUUGGAUUACUGUGAAGGCUAAUUAAGAAGACGAUGCCUGAAGACACACAGUAAAAACCUUCCCUCCUGUGAGCAUUGGGUCAGUAAGCACCCAACCAAGUUCACAGAACAUUCUGAGUUUUGGGAACAGGGACAGCAAUGCUCACAAUUUGCCCCUGGUGGGAGGAACCCUGUGAAGACCACAGGGCAAGCGAGGCAGCACUUCGAGGCCCUAUCAUUCUUGGGCUGCAGGCAAGACGGAGGAGUCUGUGUUAGAUUCAGGGUCACCCAGUGCAAGACGGAGCCACAGGGUCCACGGAGUAGGGGCUGGAGCCACAAAGAGGCUGCCGUUCCGGCUGGAGAAGGAAACCUUGCUACGGACAGAGGGAAAGAAACGCUCUGGUUUCUCCUUUGCACCUGCACUCCCAGUCUUCAAGGAAUGCUGAGUCCGUCAUCCUAAUCCAGCUGAGGCCAGCUUACUUGGACCCUGGGCAGUGCAACUGGAAAGACUUGGGCUUCAUCUCCCUGACCUUGCAGCUCUACACACACAGAAGGGCAAGGAUGCCCGGCCUGGCACAAGCCCUCGCUGUGGAUGUUUGUGUGGGGACAGCAACGCCCUUGCUAGGGCCUCAGAAGGUCUUGUGCGAGUCCUAGGGAGGGUAAGUCUAGGCUACUAGCCCCUGGUCACACUUAAGGAAACUUGAUGGAAGGGGAUGGGAAGUAGGGAGUCACUGUGGAUUGCUGAACCAGAGCAACAGCAGGUAAAGUGCAGUAUCUAAGUCAGGGCCUCAGAAGCCCUGACUAUGUUUAAAGCCAAAUACAGUAUGUAAAAUUUAAAUGAUGGCUGUUCUCUUUUAUUUG